GUGCCGCUGACCCAGCGGGACCGUGAAGGCGCCGCCCUCAAGAUCACGCGCAGCGGCGGGGGGUUCGAAGCCGAGGCGGUGCA
rnacentral:tRNA from 1 species